GUGGGGAAUCUUCCGCAAUGGACGAAAGUCUGACGGAGCGACGCCGCGUGAGUGAAGAAGGCCUUCGGGUCGUAAAGCUCUGUCAUCAGGGACGAACGGCCGGUGGAGUGGAAAGCCACCGGAUUGACGGUACCUGAGAAGGAAGCCACGGCUAACUACGUGCCAGCAGCCGCGGUAAUACGUAGGUGGCAAGCGUUGUCCGGAAUUAUUGGGCGUAAAGCGCGCGCAGGUGGGAUCUUAAGUCCAUUUUUAAAGUUCGGAGCUCAACUCCGUGAUGGGAUGGAAACUGGGAUUCUUGAGUACCGGAGAGGAAAGCGGAAUUCCCCGUGUAGCGGUGAAAUGCGUAGAUAUGGGGAGGAACACCAGUGGCGAAGGCGGCUUUCUGGACGGUGUCUGACACUGAGGCGCGAAAGCCAGGGGAGCGAACGGGAUUAGAAACCCCGGUAGUCC
rnacentral:rRNA from 1 species